rnacentral:lncRNA from 1 species
GGUGUGCCCAUGUGCAAGAAUUCAGUGUCCAUAUGGAAAAACUCCUCUGUGGAUCUUCUUGGAAGACUUGACACAGUGAAUUUAAAAGGACAUCACUGAUUCUGAGUGAGAGACUGCAUCCAACUUUCCCCUUUGAGUGAGUCAUGAAUAAGCAACUGGAUUGGAUCAUCUACAAAGCCUGUUCCAAACCAGCUCAUGUGCAUGAAUAUGAGAGACUAGAGAAGAUCCAAAUCAACUUACGUAGGGUCAGAGACCAUGACAGACACUAAGAGCUUUUAAAUAAGACACACGCUAAGCAAGCACGGUCUGGUCUAUAAACCAUACAUUUGUGCCUGGGAAUCUCCCUACAUCAAAGUUUCUAGAACCUGCUUCAAAGGUGCAUCUUAAUAUAUUAAUUCAUUUGUAUCUUUGCUUUGGAUCAUAUUGAGUAUUAAUAUGAUGCAUUGUCUGGCUCUAUUUUUCUUAACACCUUGCUUGGCUCAACUACAUCUGCCGCUGUUAAUUUCAGCCUAGUUAAGUAUUUGUUCAGUAUGUGCCCUGUCCACAAACGGCUUCUCUACCAGGUCUCCUGAAGCCAGUUAAUGGUAAUGAGGCUUAUUGUUUCAAGUCCACAUUGGUGCAAGGCAAGUAUCCAUGAGCACAUGACCAUGUCCAGAGAUGUGGUCAUGUACAGAAUGGUAUAGAACUUUCACAGUGACUCUGAGUAAAGAAAAUAUUACAAAACAGCUAUACACAUGAUAAGAUUGGAAAGGCUUCUAUUAUUGUUGUCUAAAUGGCUAAACACUUAGAUGCUUGGAACUUAGAGUAGUCCAAAUUAAGCUCCUUACAGAUUUUUGAAAGAUGCUUCUUCUCCUUUGUUAAUGAAAGUAAUUGCCUACAAGUUUAUUUCCAGUCAAAGUGCCCACUCCAGGGAUGAGCAUGGGCUUCUUUGGACAGUCAGCACCUCUUUGGGAUUCUGUUUUGCAGACUUUCCUUCUCUCUCAUUUUAUUACUUUUUCCCCAUCCUAAUUCUCUGGCCCUGCUUGUCUCUGUCAUGUGUGCACACGUAACAGAUGUUCACGUAUAAGAGAAACAUUAAAAGAAUCAAUCAAUACAGUGUGUCAUGGAGGCUGUUGGGCUCUUGCAAUGGCUUCCCUUGGCAAUAGCUGCCAUGUGGAGGGCUCCUAGCUCCCCAUUUUCACUGGAAACCCAGCUUCCCCAGAGUUGUGACUGUUCAUCAACCAUGGCUGCUCAGACAUAUGGCAAAGCCUUCCUUGGUGUGUAAAUGGUGGUCACAUGUCAAGAAAGUGCUCUCUUUAGCUUUCUCCCUAAAUACCAAAUACUUAUGGCAUAUAUACUGUUCUCUUACAGUGAAAGAUUCCAUCAAAAUUUGCUCAAUUUCAGCUGAAUAUAAUAACCUUGCCUCCAUGUUUAUAUGUGUGUAAUAAUCCCACCUCCCUGUUCAACUGUAUACAAUAAAUAUUCUGAAAUUCCC